rnacentral:ncRNA from 1 species
GAUGAGUUUUAUUCUUGCUUUUUCAUUCAGUAUUUAUUUGUUCUAUAUGUAAGUUUUUGCGUGAGUUUAUCGUGGUUCUAGAUGGGCCGUGUGGUAUAAGGUGUUAAGAUAACUCUCAUUAGUUGUUAUUGGUUGUUCAAGUAUUCUUGUAUCUAGCAAUAUAUUUUUAGUUUCGGUUAAAUUUUGUGCCAGCAGCCGCGGUUAUACCUUGGAGACAUUUGAAUGUGUUUGGCAUUAGGUAGUUAUAAUUGGUUUAAUUUGUUGAUUUGUAUUUUGUUUGUUGUUAGGUGAAAUUUUUAUUGUUUAAAUUUUCUUGUAUUUAUUUGGAGGCUAUGAAACUCCUUUUGUAAACUAGGAUUAGAUACCCUAUUAUUUUGGAGUGUAAAUUGUUUUUGUGCCUGAGUAGUAUUAGUUAUGUUCUUGAAACUUAAAGAAUUUGGCGGUAUCUCAUUCCGUCCAGAGGAAUCUGUCUCGUUAUCGAUAGUCCACGUUGGACCUUACUUAGUUGUAUUUGGUUUGUAUACCGCCGUUUAUUGAUUAUCUUUUUAGGGUUGUUUGAAUUUUCUGGUUUCUCUAUUUUGAUUUAUUUCAGGUCAAGGUGCAGCUUGUUUCUAAGUGAAUGAUGGAUUACAUUGUUAUUUGUUUUAGUGGAUUGUUAAUUUUAAUAUUGAUAUGAAAUUGGAUUUGGUUGUAAUGGUUUGUAGACUGUUACUGUGAUAAGUGGUUCUGGGAUAUGCACACAUCGCCCGUCGCUCUCGUUUAGUUUAUUAAUGAGAUAAGUCGUAACAAAGUGGUUGUACCGGAAGGUGCAGCUGGAUUGAG